rnacentral:tRNA from 1 species
AUAGCUCAGUGGUAGAGCACUUCCUUGGUAAGGAAGAGGUCACGAGUUCAAGUCUNCUGUCUUUCGACUUCGGUGGUUCGAAUCCAUCUUUGCCCA